GGGACUGGAACACAAUUCAGCAGGAUUGCAGAACACACCAUGACUGAACUGAGAUCAUCACAACAUAUAGUGUGAUGGAAAUUCAGUUUCCAGUAGCACAGCACCGACAGAAGUUGCAUGUUACAGAUACACUAAGGGAAAUGAGAGUAAGGAUAUAAGCACACAGCCCCACUCCACUGACGACCUGCUGUUGGCCAACACCCUCAACGACUCUUACUGCUGGUUUGAUGAGACAUCAAGCAGCCUUGACACCUCCACCUUCCCCAACAAUAGAGACACUUUGGUCCAUCAUCCCCCCACCUCCCCACUCCCACCAGCACAGAGCCAUCACCACCAUCAAAGACUUCACCCACAGGAACCUCCUCCUCACUCCACAGCUAUGAGGAUUUCACACCACCUUCUCCCACUACAACCCUUCAUAUUCAUGAAGCAGAUUCCAAAUGCGUCUUCUGAGCGCAUCUGAGUCACGUGACGGCACAGUAACAAAUCCCAGCAGGGCAGGAAGAAGGGGGCGGAGCAAAGUGCGUCUGCCGCAUAAGAAGAGGUGUUCACACAGACAGAGCUGCUUUUUCAUCCACAGCGAGUAAAUAGUGAACCUCCAGGAGAGAAACAAACUAAAGUAUCGAUCAUAUACCACUACCAACGUUUGGAUCGAUAUCUGCAUCGAUCUGCACACCCUUGUCUCCUGGAUCGUAGCUGAGAUCAGCGUGAACCACGUGGGUCUCUGCUCCCUGACCUGUUUCCUGUGUUUGGAAAGAGUUCCAGCUUCAUCACGGAGUUUCUCUCGGUUUGUGGGCUCAUCUAAAGGACCAACGUGGAUCGAGAAGUCAGCGCUCUCAGGAGGCCGACAAUUUUGUUGAAGAAAGAAGUGGAAGAAAAAAAUACAACCGUGACGAGUUUGGGAAAGAUUUUACUGUGAAAGCUUCCCUAAAAAUGCAUCAGGUCAUCCACACCGGAGAGAGACCAUUCAGCUGUGGAGACUGUGGAAAGUCUUUUACCAGGUCUGGAAGCUUAAAAAGACA